GUAUAAGAGACAGCAGUCGCCGCGGGAAUACGGAGGGUGCAAGCGUUAAUCGGAAUUACUGGGCGUAAAGCGCACGCAGGCGGUCUGACAAGUCAGAUGUGAAAUCCCCGGGCUUAACCUGGGAACUGCAUUUGAAACUGUCAGGCUGGAGUCUUGUAGAGGGGGGUGGAAUUCCAGGUGUAGCGGUGAAAUGCGUAGAGAUCUGGAGGAAUACCGGUGGCGAAGGCGGCCCCCUGGACAAAGACUGACGCUCAGGUGCGAAAGCGUGGGGAGCAAACAGGAUUAGAUACCCCUGUAGUCCCUGUCUCUUAUAC
rnacentral:rRNA from 1 species